rnacentral:rRNA from 1 species
CCUACGGGUGGCAGCAGUGAGGAAUAUUGGUCAAUGGACGAGAGUCUGAACCAGCCAAGUAGCGUGAAGUAUGACUGCCCUAUGGGUUGUAAACUUCUUUUAUAUGGGAAUAAAAUGUUCCACGUGUGGGAUUUUGUAUGUACCAUAUGAAUAAGGAUCGGCUAACUCCGUGCCAGCAGCCACGGUAAUACGGAGGAUCCGAGCGUUAUCCGGAUUUAUUGGGUUUAAAGGGAGCGUAGGUGGAUUGUUAAGUCAGUUGUGAAAGUUUGCGGCUCAACCGUAAAAUUGCAGUUGAAACUGGCAGUCUUGAGUACAGUAGAGGUGGGCGGAAUUCGUGGUGUAGCGGUGAAAUGCUUAGAUAUCACGAAGAACUCCGAUUGCGAAGGCAGUUCACUGGACUGCAACUGACACUGAGGCUCGAAAGUGUGGGUAUCAAACAGGAUUAGAUACCCGUGUAGUC